rnacentral:rRNA from 1 species
CACCCUUUCUUGGUCAUUUAGAGGAAGUAAAAGUCGUAACAAGGUUUCCUAGGUGAACCUGCGGAAGGAUCAUUACAGAGUUCAUGCCCUUCGGGGUAACCUCCCACCCUUGAAUAUAUACCUUUGUUGCUUUGGCGGGCCGCUUCGCUACUGGCUUCGGCUGGUGAGUGCCCGCCAGAGGACCCUAAAUUCUGAAUAUAGUGUCGUCUGAGUACUAUAUAAUAGUUAAAACUUUCAACAACGGACUCUUGGCUCUGGCAUCGAUGAAGAACGCAGCGAAAUGCGAUAAGUAAUUGAAUUGCAGAAUUCAGUGAAUCAUCGAAUCUUUGAACGCACAUUGCGCCCUUGGUAUUCCGGGGGGCAUGCCUGUUCGAGCGUCAUUAUAACCCCUCAGCUCAGCUUGGUGUUGGGGCCUGCCGUCUGGCAGCCCUUAAAAUCAGUGCGGUGCCAUCUGGCUCUAAGCGUAGUAAUUUUUCUCGCUACAGAGUUCGGUGGAUGCUUGCCAUUAACCCCCAAUUUUCUAUGGUUGACCUCGGAUCGGUAGGGAUACCCGCUGAACUUAAGCAUAUCAAUAAGCGGAGG